rnacentral:lncRNA from 1 species
CCUGCUUCUCUUUUCCCACACGCUCGUCUCAUCCUGCCGUCAUGUCCACUCUGCUGCAGCGAAAUCAGGCUCUAAUGCUUUUAUUUGACCGGAUUGGACAGGUACUUUUUAUACGUGUGUGUGUAUGUGUGUGUGUGUGUGGUGUGUGUGUGGUAGAGUGAGAAAUGAGGAUUGACAGAAAGCUGGUUUUGACAACACAAACACGAUUUGCUUACCUCAGCGGAGUCGUGUUGUGGGUGUGUGUGCAUGUGUGGUGUGAACAUGAAUGUUGGCUUUUAGGAAGCUUAUGUGAAACAUUUUUUGCUGUGUUGUUUCUCACCUUCUUGCCGAAGAGCAUCGCUGUACAUGAUCAAAAAAAGCCAGGUGCCAGACUUAUCGGUAUCCCUGUUUGUUUGUGCGUGUAUGUGCAAUGAUACAGCAUGUGCAGUAGUGACUGAGCCUGUAUAUGUGCACCUUUCCUGCUCUUGUGUGUCCAUGUAUUACCAGCAACAGCGCAAACACGCAUGCGCUACCUGGACAGGGAUCCUCGCUGCUUAUUUGGGUAUCAGUGUUGUGUGGAGUCGCAUUCAGGCUCCGGCCCUGCUCUCUAAGCACUGAGCACAUUUUGAGGAACGCUUUCCAACUGCGACCUUUCACCUCCAACCUUUUCACCACAUUUUUACCGGACUUCUCUUCCAGAAAUUGCUGGAUUUAGACUCUGGAAGGAAUCGGGAAUCCCCUGCUAACGGCUGCUUUGAUAAAAGAAAGGUAAAGAGCUGCACCCAGCAGAUGGUACGUGGUGAGUGGAUAAGGGUCCAACAUGACAGAUGCACAUUAUGAACUCAUGCUUGUAAGAUUAGAAGAGGCUGUUUGAACUCAAAUUGCAUGUAAAUCAGGUCCAGAUUGAAGUAUUUGAGUCUUGCAGACAAGAGAGAAAUUACCGCCAAGUGUUUAUGCAACAAAAUGCAUUUCUGUAACUGUUUUGUUGACUAUAAACAAUCAUACUCUGUUUGUAAGAGAAACAUUUUCAUAACCAGCGCUUAUGUUGUGUGUGUGUAACUGAAUCCAGUAAUAAAUACUUCUCAUGAGAAGGAAUAAUGUGCCAAUUUUUAAAAAGUAGUUCCACUUAAAUGUGACCACCACUGAGUUAAAGCUGUAAAGUGCGAGACAAACAACUCACACAUAAAGAGUUUCUACAUCCAUCUGUUGUCUCAGCUUUUUUUUCUCCCCGUCUCUACAAUCCCACAAACUUCUUAUCUCUCUGCACUGCUGUGCUCCCACCACCCUGAAUCCUGCCCCCCCUCCUCGUCUUCUCUCACACUCUCUACAUCCUUUCACAUAUACACCCUCUCUCUCUCUCUCUCUCUCUCUCUCUCUCUCUCACACACACACACACACACACACACACACACAUGCUAGACAACCCCCUUUCGUUUUGCUGAGGGCGCCUGUGCUUGGUCACAUCACCCCAGUGUUGCAUCCAGAUAACUUCACUGUGAAGCCUGUGGUUUGGUUUCUGUGUGUGGUAGGUGUGCACAGUAUUCCUAUUGUCACUGUUACAUGCUAUUAAACAGACCUGAAUUCACAAA